UGCAGUCGAACGAAGUAGCAAUACUUAGUGGCAGACGGGUGAGUAACAUGUAGGUAUCUGCCCUUCGGCCUGGAAUAACACGAGGAAACUUGUGCUAAUACCGGAUAAGUCUUUACGGAGAAAGCUUUAUGCACCAUUGGAUGAGCCUGCACUUGAUUAGUUUGUUGGUGGGGUAAUGGCCUACCAAGACUGUGAUCAAUAGCUGAUUUGAGAGGAUGAUCAGCCACAUUGGGACUGAGACACGGCCCAAACUCCUACGGGAGGCAGCAGUGGGGAAUCUUGCACAAUGGAGGAAACUCUGAUGCAGCGAUGCCGCGUGAGUGAAGAAGGCCUUUGGGUUGUAAAGCUCUUUCGUCGGGGAAGAAAAUGACUGUACCCGAAUAAGAAGGUCCGGCUAACUUCGUGCCAGCAGCCGCGGUAAUACGAAGGGACCUAGCGUAGUUCGGAAUUACUGGGCUUAAAGAGUCCGUAGGUGGUUGAAAAAGUUAGUGGUGAAAUCCCAGAGCUUAACUCUGGAACUGCCAUUAAAACUUUUCAGCUAGAGUAUGAUAGAGGAAAGCAGAAUUUCUAGUGUAGAGGUGAAAUUCGUAGAUAUUAGAAAGAAUACCAAUUGCGAAGGCAGCUUUCUGGAUCAUUACUGACACUGAGGAACGAAAGCAUGGGUAGCGAAGAGGAUUAGAUACCCUCGUAGUCCAUGCCGUAAACGAUGUGUGUUAGACGUUGGAAAUUUAUUUUCAGUGUCGCAGCGAAAGCGAUAAACACACCGCCUGGGGAGUACGACCGCAAGGUUAAAACUCAAAUGAAUUGACGGGGACCCGCACAAGUAGUGGAGCAUGU
rnacentral:rRNA from 1 species